rnacentral:rRNA from 1 species
UACGAAGGGGGCUAGCGUUGCUCGGAAUCACUGGGCGUAAAGCGCACGUAGGCGGACUCUUAAGUCGGUGGUGAAAUCCUGGAGCUCAACUCCAGGACUGCCUUCGAUACUGAGAGUCUCGAGUCCGGGAGAGGUGAGUGGAACUGCGAGUGUAGAGGUGAAAUUCGUAGAUAUUCGCAAGAACACCAGUGGCGAAGGCGGCUCACUGGCCCGGUACUGACGCUGAGGUGCGAAAGCGUGGGGAGCAAACAGGG